GGGGCUGUGGCUCUGUGGUACAAUAUCUGUUUUGCAUGCAGAAGAUCUCAGGUUCAAUCCCUGGCAUCUCCA
rnacentral:tRNA from 1 species